GGUUAAGUUAGAAAGGGCGCACGGUGAAUGCCUUGGCACUAGGAGCCGAUGAAGGACGGGACUAACACCGAUAUGCUUCGGGGAGCUGUAAGUGAGCUUUGAUCCGGAGAUUUCCGAAUGGGGAAACCCACUGUUCGUAAUGGAACAGUAUCUUUAUCUGAAUACAUAGGAUAUUGAAGGCAGACCCGGGGAACUGAAACAUCUAAGUACCCGGAGGAAGAGAAAGCAAAUGCGAUUUCCUGAGUAGCGGCGAGCGAAACGGAAUUAGCCCAAACCAAGAGGCUUGCCUCUUGGGGUUGUAGGACACUCUAUACGGAGUUACAAAGGAACGAAGUAAAUGAAGCGACCUGGAAAGGUCCGUCGAAGAAGGUAACAACCCUGUAGUUGAAACUUCGUUCCCUCUUGAGUGGAUCCUGAGUACGGCGGAACACGUGAAAUUCCGUCGGAAGCUGGGAGGACCAUCUCCCAAGGCUAAAUACUACCUAGUGACCGAUAGUGAACCAGUACCGUGAGGGAAAGGUGAAAAGCACCCCGGAAGGGGAGUGAAAGAGAUCCUGAAACCGUGUGCCUACAAGUAGUCAGAGCCCGUUAACGGGUGAUGGCGUGCCUUUUGUAGAAUGAACCGGCGAGUUACGAUCCCAUGCAAGGUUAAGCUGAUAAGGCGGAGCCGUAGCGAAAGCGAGUCUGAAUAGGGCGUUUAGUAUGUGGUUGUAGACCCGAAACCAGGUGAUCUACCCAUGUCCAGGGUGAAGUUCAGGUAACACUGAAUGGAGGCCCGAACCCACGCACGUUGAAAAGUGCGGGGAUGAGGUGUGGGUAGCGGAGAAAUUCCAAUCGAACCUGGAGAUAGCUGGUUCUCUCCGAAAUAGCUUUAGGGCUAGCCUCAUGUUGUGAGAGUCUUGGAGGUAGAGCACUGAUUGGACUAGGGGCCCCCAACGGGUUACCGAAUUCAGUCAAACUCCGAAUGCCAAAGACUUAUCCAUGGGAGUCAGACUGCGAGUGAUAAGAUCCGUAGUCAAAAGGGAAACAGCCCAGACCACCAGCUAAGGUCCCCAAGUAUACGUUAAGUGGAAAAGGAUGUGGAGUUGCUUAGACAACCAGGAUGUUGGCUUAGAAGCAGCCACCAUUUAAAGAGUGCGUAAUAGCUCACUGGUCGAGUGACUCUGCGCCGAAAAUGUACCGGGGCUAAACGUAUCACCGAAGCUGUGGAUUGACAUCUUUGAUGUCAGUGGUAGGAGAGCGUUCUAAGUGCUGUGAAGUCAGACCGUAAGGACUGGUGGAGCGCUUAGAAGUGAGAAUGCCGGUAUGAGUAGCGAAAGACAAGUGAGAAUCUUGUCCACCGAAUGCCUAAGGUUUCCUGAGGAAGGCUCGUCCGCUCAGGGUUAGUCGGGACCUAAGCCGAGGCUGAAAAGCGUAGGCGAUGGCCAACAGGUUGAUAUUCCUGUACCACCUCCCCGCCGUUUGAGUAAUGGGGGGACGCAGUAGGAUAGGGUAAGCGCGCUGCUGGAUAUGCGCGUUCAAGCAGUUAGGCUGAUGAGUAGGCAAAUCCGCUCAUCAUAAAGGCUGAGCUGUGAUGACGAGGGAAUUAUAGUACCGAAGUUCCUGAUUCCACACUGCCAAGAAAAGCCUCUAGCGAGGCGGGAGGUGCCCGUACCGCAAACCGACACAGGUAGGCGAGGAGAGAAUCCUAAGGUGAUCGAGAGAACUCUCGUUAAGGAACUCGGCAAAAUGACCCCGUAACUUCGGGAGAAGGGGUGCUCUGGUAGGGUGUAUAGCCCGAGAGAGCCGCAGUGAAUAGGCCCAGGCGACUGUUUAGCAAAAACACAGGUCUCUGCGAAGCCGCAAGGCGAAGUAUAGGGGCUGACGCCUGCCCGGUGCUGGAAGGUUAAGAGGAGGGGUUAUCCUUUGGGAGAAGCUCUGAAUCGAAGCCCCAGUAAACGGCGGCCGUAACUAUAACGGUCCUAAGGUAGCGAAAUUCCUUGUCGGGUAAGUUCCGACCCGCACGAAAGGCGUAACGAUCUGGGCACUGUCUCAACGAGAGACUCGGUGAAAUUAUAGUACCUGUGAAGAUGCAGGUUACCCGCGACAGGACGGAAAGACCCCGUGGAGCUUUACUGUAGCCUGAUAUUGAAUUUUGGUACAGCUUGUACAGGAUAGGUAGGAGCCUGAGAAGCCGGAGCGCUAGCUUCGGUGGAGGCGUCGGUGGGAUACUACCCUGGCUGUAUUGAAAUUCUAACCCGCGGCCCUUAUCGGGCCGGGAGACAGUGUCAGGUGGGCAGUUUGACUGGGGCGGUCGCCUCCUAAAAUGUAACGGAGGCGCCCAAAGGUUCCCUCAGAAUGGUUGGAAAUCAUUCGUAGAGUGUAAAGGCACAAGGGAGCUUGACUGCGAGACCUACAAGUCGAGCAGGGACGAAAGUCGGGCUUAGUGAUCCGGUGGUUCCGCAUGGAAGGGCCAUCGCUCAACGGAUAAAAGCUACCCCGGGGAUAACAGGCUUAUCUCCCCCAAGAGUCCACAUCGACGGGGAGGUUUGGCACCUCGAUGUCGGCUCAUCGCAUCCUGGGGCUGUAGUCGGUCCCAAGGGUUGGGCUGUUCGCCCAUUAAAGCGGUACGCGAGCUGGGUUCAGAACGUCGUGAGACAGUUCGGUCCCUAUCCGUCGUGGGCGUAGGAAAUUUGAGAGGAGCUGUCCUUAGUACGAGAGGACCGGGAUGGACACACCGCUGGUGUACCAGUUGUCUUGCCAAAGGCAUCGCUGGGUAGCUAUGUGUGGACGGGAUAAGUGCUGAAAGCAUCUAAGCAUGAAGCCCCCCUCAAGAUGAGAUUUCCCAUAGCGUAAGCUAGUAAGAUCCCUGAAAGAUGAUCAGGUUGAUAGGUCAGAGGUGGAAGCGUGGCGACAUGUGUAGCUGACUGAUACUAAUCGAUCGAGGACUUAACCAA
rnacentral:rRNA from 1 species